GCCGGCCCGAAAUCCGUAGAGCGUCAGACUCUUACCUCAAAGCACGGUUUAGCUAUAAUCUGAAGGCUGCGAGUUCGACCCUCGCGGUGGGCU